UACGGGGGGGGCAAGCGUUGUUCGGAAUUACUGGGCGUAAAGGGUUCGUAGGUGGCUUGCUUAGUCAGACGUGAAUCCCUCAGCUCAACUGGGGAACUGCGUCUGAUACUGGCGAGCUUGAGUGCAGGAGAGGAACGCGGAAUUCCAGGUGUAGCGGUGAAAUGCGUAGAUAUCUGGAGGAACACCGGUGGCGAAGGCGGCAUCCUGGACCGACACUGACGCUGAUGCGCGAAAGCCAGGGGAGCAAAGCGGGGAUUAAGAAACCCCG
rnacentral:rRNA from 1 species